rnacentral:rRNA from 1 species
AUUGAACGCUGGCGGCAGGCCUAACACAUGCAAGUCGAGCGAGCGGCGGACGGGUGAGCACUGUAUGGGGACUGCCCGAUAGAGGCGGAUAACUACUGGAAACGGUUGCUAAUACCGCACACUGUCGGAUAACCCAUAUGGGAUUAGCUAGUGGGUAAGGUAAUGGCUUACCUAGGCGACGAUCCCUAGCUGGACUGAGAGGAUGAUCAGCCACACUGGAACUGAGACACGGCCCAGACUCCUACGGAGGCAGCAGUGGGGAAUAUUGCGCAAUGGGCGCAAGCCUGAUGCAGCCAUGCCGCGUGUAUGAAGAAGGCCCUAGGGUUGUAAAGUACUUUCAGUCGGGAGGCGUUACCGACAGAAGAAGCACCGGCUAACUCCGUGCCAGCCGCCGCGGUAAUAC